GAUGAACGCUGGCGGCGUGCCUAAUACAUGCAAGUCGAACGGAGAUUCUGUCGUAAUUCGUUACAGCGGAAAUCUCAGUGGCGAACGGGUGAGUAACGCGUUGGUGACCUGCCCCGGAGAGGGGGAUAACAGCUUGAAAGGGCUGCUAAUACCCCAUGAUGUCUAGAGGGUUAGAAACCUCUAGACGAAAGGCUUCGGUCGCUUCGGGAGGGGCCUGCGUCCCAUCAGCUAGUUGGUAGGGUAAUGGCCUACCAAGGCGAAGACGGGUAGGGGACCUGAGAGGGUGACCCCCCACAAUGGAACUGAAACACGGUCCAUACACCUACGGGUGGCAGCAGUGGGGAAUAUUGCACAAUGGGCGAAAGCCUGAUGCAGCAACGCCGCGUGCGCGAAGAAGGCCUUCGGGUUGUAAAGCGCUUUUCGGGGAGAAGAGGAAGGAC
rnacentral:rRNA from 1 species